UGCGGGAUCUAGUUCCCUAACCAGGGAUCGAACCGAGACCCCCUGCAUUGGGAGCGUGGAGUCUUAACCACUGGACCACCAGGGAAGUCCCAAGGGUCCCCUGUUUUAGAACAUGGAGAAAGGCAUCGGUUGGUGCCUGAGGGGAAGGGUCUGUAGGGAGGGAGAGGGUACAGAGGAAAGAGGGGCCGAGGAUCCAGGGAGGGUCCAAGGAAGGUUUGAGGGGGCCGGAAGGAUUUAAGCCCAGACUCCCCAGAUAUGCAGGGAAGUAGAAGAAAAAGGUGGCCCUCCAUAGGGCCCAGGGCUAUCCGUGGGGUCUCCCAGCCAUGAGGCAUUAAACAGGUGUACGGUGCAGGCUGGUGGGUGGGUUGUUGCUGCUUCUCUGACCCUCAGUAUCCUCUGGGGCAGACAUGGCUCACCCCAGUAUUUGCCCUUCCCCUCCUGCUCCAAGGAGCUCCAACCCAGAAAGGGAGGAGGUGUGCCAAGACCAGGGGCCACCCCCUUCCUCCUCUGGUGGCUCACCAGCCGCAUGGGGUGGGGUGAAGCCCACCCUUACAACGAGUUCGAUCUGGCAGCUUUAAACUGGGCCAGACUUUCAACAACUGAAAAUGUCCAGAAAGUUAGGAAUUCAACAGUACUCUGCUGAAAACAGGGAGCAGAGAAAAACAGAUUUAUAGUCAUGCCUCCUACUGAGUUUAUAUUCCUGAAUAAAUGUAGUUACAAUAAUAACAAAUUCCCUGGCGGUCCAGUGGUUAGGACUCGGUGCUUUCACUGCCUGGGGCCUGGGUUCAGUUCCUGGUCGGGGAACUAAGAUCCCGAGAAAAAACCAACCAACCAACCAACCAACCAACCAAAACGUAGUUACAAUAAUAAUAAUGUUGCAAGAGGUAUUAUGUCUUUCUUCCCCACACUCCAUUUUUAUUAGAUGGAAAUUAUGACACAAAAUAGGUCCCGGGUUAUUGCAUUUGAUGUCUGACAGCGAUCUUAGAAGUAACGUGUCCAAAACUGAACCGGAUUUAUUUCUGUUGCCAUCCCCCAGCGCCCCUCCCUCAACCACGUCUCCCCCAUCUCAGGAAAUGCUACUGGGAGCCAGCCUCAGUCCCUCUUUUUCUGUCUCCCCAAGCAUCCAGUCCAUCAGCAAGUCCUGCAGUCCUGACAGGGAUAAGCGCUCCCAAAUCUGACCUGGCACGACCGCCCCGGCCCCAGCUCCCUCUUCACUCCUGGCUGUGCAGCAGUUUCCUCACCAGGCCUGCAGCUUCCCUCUCAGCCCCUCCACACCCGCCGGAGGGUCAUUUUAUUUUCUUUUUGGCCAACAUUUGUUCAUGAUUUUUAUUUUUUAAUAAAAACUGAAUAGAACUGCAAUUCCCCUCCUAGAUGUAUACCUAAAAGAAUUGAAAACGGGUACUCACGCGGGUAUGUGGGUACACAUGGCCAUUGCAGCCCUAUUCACAGUAGCCAAAAAGUAGCCAAAUGACUAUGAAUGGAUGAAUGGAUAAACACAAUGGGGUCUAUCUGUACAACGGACUACCAUUCAGCCACGAAAAAGAAGGAAGUACUGAUACAUACCACAAUGUGGAUGAACCUUGAAAACAUUGUCCUUAAUGAAAGAGGCAAGACACAGAGGAUCAAAUUAUGUCUGGUUCCAUUGAUAUCUGAAAUAUCCAGCAUAGGCAAAUCCAGAGACAGAACACAGAUUGGUGGCUGUCAGGGGUUGGGGGGAGGGGUGAGAGAAACUGCUUAACAGGGUGUGGGUGUUAUUUUGGGGUGAUGGAGAUGUUUUGGAACUAGACAGACAUGGUGCUUGCACAGCCUUGCCAGUGUACUAAAUGCCCCUGAAUUGUUCACUUGAAAAUUGUUAAUUUUAUGUUCUGUGAAUUUCACAUCAAUAAGUUAUUUGUUUUCAUUGACAGGUACAUCUCAAGUAUUGGUCAGGAGCUGUGAUACACAAACGCUCCUGUACUUGCUUCUCGUUUCCCUCUUCCUCCCCUAAAGUUUGCAUAAAUGAAUCAUGCUUUAUAUAGUCUAUGUGAACUGUUUUUGUACUCAAGAACUGUGAUUCAUCCACGUCGCUCUGCAUAGUUGCAAUAAAGUUCUCUCUGCUGUAUACUAUU